rnacentral:rRNA from 1 species
GUCCUUUAGAGUAGAAUUUAAGGUCUAACCUGCCCACUGAUUAUUUUAACGGCCGCAGUAUUUUGACUGUGCAAAGGUAGCAUAAUCAUUAGUUUUUUAAUUGAAAGCUUGUAUGAAUGGUUGGACGAGAUAUAAUCUGUCUUUAAAUUAUAAUUAGAAUUUAAUUUUUAAGUUAAAAAGCUUAAAUAAUAUUAAAAGACGAGAAGACCCUAUAGAUCUUUAUAAAUAUAGUGGUUUAAUUUUUAAGGAUUAAUAAUUUUUAUACUAUUAUAUUUAUUUAAUUGGGGUAAUAAAAAGAUUUAAAAAAUUCUUUUUAUUUUAAACAUUGAUAAAUGAUUUAAAUGAUCCAUUAUUAUUGAUUAUAAGAUUAAGUUACCUUAGGGAUAACAGCGUAAUUUUUUUUGAGAGUUCUUAUCGAUAAAAAAGUUUGCGACCUCGAUGUUGGAUUAAAAUUAAUUUUGGGUGUAGAAGUUCAAAGUUUUAGUCUGUUCGACUAUUAAAAUUUU